GUGGGGAAUAUUGCACAAUGGGCGCAAGCCUGAUGCAGCAACGCCGCGUGAGGGAUGACGGCCUUCGGGUUGUAAACCUCUUUUAGUAGGGAAGAAGCGAAAGUGACGGUACCUACAGAAAAAGCACCGGCUAACUACGUGCCAGCAGCCGCGGUAAUACGUAGGGUGCAAGCGUUGUCCGGAAUUAUUGGGCGUAAAGAGCUCGUAGGCGGCUUGUCGCGUCUGCUGUGAAAUCCCGGGGCUCAACCCCGGGCCUGCAGUGGGCACGGGCAGGCUAGAGUGCGGUAGGGGAGAUUGGAAUUCCUGGUGUAGCGGUGGAAUGCGCAGAUAUCAGGAGGAACUCCGAUGGCGAAGGCAGAUCUCUGGGCCGCUACUGACGCUGAGGAGCGAAAGCAUGGGGAGCGAACAGGAUUAGAAACCCUGGUAGUCC
rnacentral:rRNA from 1 species